CACUGUAGUAAAACGUGCAAAACGCAGUCGACAUUGCGCAUACAUUAAAAGCUGCAAGUAAUCAUAAGCUCACAAAAUUAAACGUAGUUUUACAUGUACUUAAUGUUGCUUAUAUGCUGGAAUACUAAUUCAGCCACAAACAAUGUGGUGGCAAGACAGAAGAGACAAUAAAUGUUAGGUUGAAUGGGUAUCAUACGAACACAGCCAAGAAACUUUCCAAGGAAGUUGUGCCACUGAUGUACCAGUACACUCUCCAGCUGGAUGUGCACAGUAACACGAAGCUGGCAAGCUCUGAGCAGACACAACGCAACUCGGCGAAAACAUUUUAAGCCCGGGAUGAUGCACUGGAUGCCGCAGGACUACUGGCCCUACUACAGGCGAGUCUUGUGCAGGGAUACUGGAAGUCACUGAGAUCACUGUAAACACAGUGAUGUCAGCACCAGUAAAGCACUCCAGGAGAUUGCAGCCAUACCGCCAUGCUGCAUCGGCAACAGCCCAUUGCACGUCAGUAGUUGAACCAGCUUCCACGGCUUCUGCCACAAGUGUGCAGGGAGGAGAUUUACCAAUAAGCUAUCCAAUAAAUAAAGUAACGCCCUACUCUUGACUGAGUUAUUACUCAAGGUAUCAGUUGAUUUCAGGCGAGCCAAGCAAAAUGAGUCACAUGUGCCCACUUAAAGUUCCAUGUACAUUUGUAUUUGCCUGCUUGUUCUCAGGUGGCUUUUUCUCACUGCACCUAAAGCAUGCAGAAAAGCCAACUCAACAGGAGUUAAAAAUAUAGGUCAAUGAAAAGGGCAUAGAGACUACAUAUUCAGACUGGAAAAUGCCGUUUAUUAUACGUCACAAAAUAUUUUCCCUUGAUUUGCCAAACAACAUCGGUAUAGUAGCGAAGAAUAAAACAUUGAUUCUUUCAUACAUUUUUUUGUUACUUUUCAUAAUUACAAUAAAAUAUUGGCUGACUUUUCCAAGGCACAUUUGGGAGUACGACUGGUGCAAAAGUGUGUACAAUUCGUCUGAAAAAUAUGAGAAUUCUACUGAAAGAUACGCAACAUGGUCAGCUAAUGGCAAGGCACAGAUACAAGUUCUCUCAACUCGUGAACAGUGUUUGCUAAGUUGUUACAUUUACGCUCUGUAAGUAAUCAAACAACAAUCUCUCGUACACAACAAUAAAGUGCACGAUUACACUAUGAAUCAAAUAAAUGUGUCAGUUAUCGUCCACACGGAAAGCUUAUGAACACACUGUUUCACCAUUAAAUAAACAUGUAAUCAUACAUCAGGCUGCACAAAAAAAAGGACACUUAAACAUUCAACAUAAAUAAAAAUGCUCCUAUUUACAAGCAUUUCUUGACAUUAAAUCAUUUUUAGCUUGUAAACAUAACAGCACAAACUAAUGUAUUCAUAACUGCUCCAUAAAUCCUCUGAGAUACAUGUGACACACCACAGUUGAGCAGCCUUAAAAUCAUUUAGCACGCAAGGUACACGAUCACCAAGUGUGUCAGCUUCUGAAAAGUCUUCUUGAGCACAAGUUUUCUCAUUCUGAAAAACAGAUCUUGUGUCAAACUUUGGGAGGUAUUGCUCCUACAUGUGAUGAAAGGCUAAUGGCUGCAUCAUAUGCAGCCACGAAUCACUGGUAAAAAAAAAAAAGGAAAAGAACCUUGAGCACAUUUUGGUUCCCUUCAACACCAU